rnacentral:rRNA from 1 species
AAUGGGGGAAACCCUGAUCCAGCCAUGCCGCGUGUGUGAAGAAGGCCUUCGGGUUGUAAAGCACUUUAAGCGGGGAGGAAGGCCUUGAGACUAAUACUCUUGAGGAUUGACGUUACCCGCAGAAUAAGCACCGGCUAACUCUGUGCCAGCAGCCGCGGUAAUACAGAGGGUGCAAGCGUUAAUCGGAAUUACUGGGCGUAAAGCGCGCGUAGGCGGUUUGUUAAGUCGGAUGUGAAAUCCCCGGGCUCAACCUGGGCACGGCAUCCGAUACUGGCUGACUAGAGUGUGGGAGAGGAAGGUAGAAUUCCAGGUGUAGCGGUGAAAUGCGUAGAGAUCUGGAGGAAUACCGAUGGCGAAGGCAGCCUUCUGGCCUAACACUGACGCUGAGGUGCGAAAGCAUGGGGAGCAAA